rnacentral:rRNA from 1 species
UACAGAGGGUGCAAGCGUUGUUCGGAAUUAUUGGGCGUAAAGGGCGCGUAGGUGGCGCGGGUAGUCAUCGGUGAAAGCUCAGGGCUCAACCCUGAGUCGGCCGGUGAUACUCCCGUGCUUGAGUGUGGUAGAGGCCAAUGGAAUUCCGGGUGUAGCGGUGGAAUGCGUAGAGAUCCGGAAGAACACCGGUGGCGAAGGCGGUUGGCUGGGCCACAACUGACACUGAUGCGCGACAGCGUGGGGAGCAAACAGG